GAGUUCUGGUGACCAACUCCUGACUCCAUCAUGAGAACCUGGACCUCAUCUAGAUCGAUGGUGUUCGUCAAGGAAAAUCUAUUGAGCCCAAACAGGAUGGAGUUAUGAUGAGUAGAUUAGGAUAGAUUAGGAGUUCUGGUGACCAACUCCUGACUCCAUCAUGAGAACCUGGACCUCAUCUAGAUCGAUGGUGUUCGUCAAGGAAAAUCUAUUGAGCCCAAACACGAUGGAGUUAUGAUGAGUAGAUUAGGAGUUCGGUGACCAUUCCUGACUCCAUCAUGAGAACCUGGACAUCAUCCAGGUCGUCCGGGUAUAAUAAAAAUGCAAACCCUAACCAGAAUUCAAGUAACACUGAAAAUCUAUCACAUAAGCGAGAGUCGGUUGUUAAAAUUAAAUAUGGUGUAAAAAAUGUACACCCUUGGAUCAAGAUUUUCUAAUCAUAGUAUACAGCACUUCUCGGAACUCUCUCGAUGGUUACGAAAGCAACGAACGCCUGACGGUCGAGCACAGGUCCGUCCCCUAAGCGCACUCGGCGGAGACUGAGCGCGCGGUGUCGGUGCAGCGUGAUUUAUACGUCUUUAAAAAAAUAUAGAUUUACGGCUAGGUAGGUCCUAUAGUUAUGAUUUUUUUUUUAUGAGUAGACAUAAAGUUACAAUUUGAUAAAAUAUUAUUUUUGGGGCAAAAUAUAAGUCCAAUUUGCGAUAAAAAAAUGUAAUGUAACCCUGUUUUCACCAAAAAAAUGAAGAAAACUCGGAAGGUUUUUUAUCAAUUUUUUAAAAUGAAUCUUCGAUUUUCAAGCAUGUCAGCCCCUCGUACAAGAUAUGGUGAGUUGAAUUGUAAUCAUUCAUGUACCAAAUGAUUCUUGUUUACUGCAAAAUUGAGAACCGAAACGACCCUUCUCACUGCAAAAUUUGAAAAAGACUCCUAAGAAAACUCAUU